rnacentral:rRNA from 1 species
UACGUAGGGUGCAAGCGUUGUCCGGAAUUAUUGGGCGUAAAGAGCUCGUAGGCGGUCUGUCGCGUCGGCUGUGAAAACCUGGGGCUCAACUCCGGGCCUGCAGCCGAUACGGGCAGACUAGAGUUCGGCAGGGGAGACUGGAAUUCCUGGUGUAGCGGUGAAAUGCGCAGAUAUCAGGAGGAACACCGGUGGCGAAGGCGGGUCUCUGGGCCGAAACUGACGCUGAGGAGCGAAAGCGUGGGGAGCAAACAGG